AAGCGCUGACUUUCAGCGGUUCGCGAUAUAAAGCGGUGUUUACCUGAUUUAUGUGUCAUUUAUACGUCUACCAUUGCUGAAAGUAUACCAACGUUACUUUAAUUUCUUUUCGUGUCGCCAGCGUCUUUUCUGUGAGUUUUUUCGAGAAUUUCUUGAAUAAUGGCCGAUUCAGAUGAUGAGUACGAUCGCAAACGUCGCGAUAAAUUCCGUGGCGAGCGCAGCUCGGGAGAUAGCUACCGUUCAGAGCGUCGUGAAGACCGUCGCGGUGGUGGAGGCACAGGCGCAAGUGGGCGUGAUGAAUGGGCAGAACGUAAUCCCUUCCGAGGAGGCGGUGGAAGUGGAAGCGGUGGCAGACCUAGGCCAGAUUAUCGAGAGUAUCGUACCGGCGGUCGUGAACGUUAUGCCUCUCCUGGUCGGGAAAUGCCCCCCGCAAAAAGAAUGCGACCGGACUGGGGUGAUGACAUGCGUGCGACUCCACGCUAUGGUUAUGAUCCCUAUCUUAUGCACGCUUGGAAUGAGCAUUAUGCUGCACAUAGCUAUCAUGGCGGUUACGGUGGCCAUGGCCAUGCACCACAUGCGGCUCGGGAGUCACAAAGCGCAAACGAUUUGCAAACACAGCCCGCAAUGCUUACGUUAAAACAGUUUUUAGACACACAGGAUGAUGGAAUAUCUGACUCCGAAGUCUUGAAAAAAUACAGUGAAUAUAAAACUGAGUUCAAGCGCCAACAAUUGAAUGAAUUUUUCGUCGCUCACAAAGACGAGGAAUGCUAUUUGCGUAUGGGGAGCUAUACGUUACUUGAGAUUUGCUGUUAAACUUAUGUAUGUGCAAAAUAUUGUGCAGCUGGUUGCAGCAGCAGCUCAAUUUUAGCGAAAAGGCUACACACGCUCACGCACGUAGCUACUACAAUAUGUUCCCAACUACCACUACUACUAUCACAUUCUCGUUUUCGCGCUGCUCGUAUAUAUUCAGAAAUAUAUAUCGAGAUAUACGAUUUUUUGUAACUUUUGCACUGGGCGAGCAAUGCUCUAGUGUGUUAAUUUGAUCGCGUUUUAAUUUUAUCCGCUUUUAAAUUCAAACGAAAUACAAAUAAGAUAUGAAAAAUUUUUGACCAAGAGGUUUAAAAAUAAAUACCAUCCCUUGGACAGCGUUAAACGUAAGGAAGA
rnacentral:misc_RNA from 1 species